rnacentral:rRNA from 1 species
GUGGGGAAUCUUCCGCAAUGGACGAAAGUCUGACGGAGCGACGCCGCGUGAGUGAAGAAGGCCUUCGGGUCGUAAAGCUCUGUCAUCAGGGACGAACGGCCGGUGGAGUGGAAAGCCACCGGAUUGACGGUACCUGAGAAGGAAGCCACGGCUAACUACGUGCCAGCAGCCGCGGUAAUACGUAGGUGGCAAGCGUUGUCCGGAAUUAUUGGGCGUAAAGCGCGCGCAGGUGGGAUCUUAAGUCCAUUUUUAAAGUUCGGAGCUCAACUCCGUGAUGGGAUGGAAACUGGGAUUCUUGAGUACCGGAGAGGAAAGCGGAAUUCCCCGUGUAGCGGGGAAAUGCGUAGAUAUGGGGAGGAACACCAGUGGCGAAGGCGGCUUUCUGGACGGUGUCUGACACUGAGGCGCGAAAGCCAGGGGAGCGAACGGGAUUAGAAACCCGAGUAGUCC